GGAGCAAAAUCGAGGCACCUGCACCAUGGCCUGGACCCCUCUCCUCCUCGCAUUCCUGGCUCACUGCACAGGCUCCAUGGCCUCCUAUGUGCUGACUCAGCCCCGCUUGAUGUCGGUGAACCUGGGACAGACGGCCAGGAUCACGUGUGGGGGAGACAACAUUGGAGGUAACUAUGCUUCCUGGUACCAACAGAAGCCAGGCCAGGCCCCCGUGAUGAUUAUCUAUGAGGAUAGCAAGCGGCCCUCAGGGAUCCCUGACCGAUUCUCAGGCACCAACUCGGGGAACACGGCCACCCUGACCAUCAGCGGGGCCCGGGCCGAGGACGAGGCUGACUAUUACUGUCUGUCAUCAGCAAGCAGUGCUAAUGCUCACAGUGACACAGGCAGAUGGGGAAUGGCCCUGGGACAGACGGCUACCAUCACCUGCACUGGAGAGGACUUGGAAGAUAUUAAUGGACGCUGGUACCAGCAGAAGCCAGGCCAAGCCCCUGUAUUGGUCGUUUAUGAGGCUAGUGUUUGGUCCUCAGAGAUCCCUACACAAUUCUCUGGCUCCAAGUCAGGGAACACGGCCACCCUGACCAUCAGCGGGGCCCGGGCCGAGGACGAGGCUGACUAUUACUGUCAGUCAUCAGACAGCAGUGCUGAUGCUCACG